UACGUAGGGUGCGAGCGUUGUCCGGAUUUAUUGGGUUUAAAGGGUGCGUAGGUGGUUAAUUAAGUCAGUGGUGAAAGGGUAUUGCUCAACAAUAGAAUUGCCAUUGAUACUGGUUGACUUGAGUACGGUAGAGGUUGGUGGAAUGGAUGGUGUAGCGGUGAAAUGCAUAGAUAUCAUCCAGAACGUCAAUUGCGAAGGCAGCUGACUAUGCCGUUACUGACACUGAGGCACGAAAGUGUGGGGAUCAAACAGG
rnacentral:rRNA from 1 species